CUUCUAUUCAUUCAUGAAACUGCUCAUUGAACAAAUGGAGCACCUGGAUGAAGUUCCCUGUAAAGGGGCUGUCAUCUGUCCCAGGAGGUGCGGGUUUGUCAGAUGCUUCUGGGAAGGAACAAAUCUUGCCUUGAGGUGAAUUGCUACUCAUUUUCUUCGACAUGUAGCUCAGUUCUUUCAACCUCUGUAAGACACCUGGAGCGAGAGGAGGCUGCCACUGUGUUGAUCAUCUUGACCCUUGAGAUUACACUGGGCCAUGGCUGAGAGAAUGACUUCCAGGGAAGUCUCAAGGAGGAAAUACUGGAUUGAAGACAAGUAGCUGGUCCACGUGCUUUACUUCUGAAAACAAGCCAUCAACCUCCAUCAGUCCUCCAUACAUACCUCCAGAGCCAAGAAAAAGCAAUUACCCUUCAGAGCUGAUGUAAGCCGACCUUCGGGAGAUGUGCUUGGACUGCCUUGGUCAUUUCCCAGACCUGAGCCCAACUGCUACGGCUGCCUCUGGAGCAGAGGCACAUGCAGCU